CCCCCCUGGCCUGCACGAGUGGCUUGCAAAGAUGGCACAGGGAAUCCAUCCUGAACCGGUUAGUGAGCUGGUGGUGCAAAAACCCCAAACAGUUGGCAGGGACGGUCAGAGGUCCACACUGUAAAAGGCAUACAGGACCACAGCCAGAUCCAUAUGAUGGCAUCUGGAAGCAGAUUAUGCCAGGUG